rnacentral:lncRNA from 1 species
CUCCUCUUUGGCAUGAUGCAGCAAUCAUGGUGGCAUGAUAAAGUGAAGAUUUUGAAAAUGGCUAACCAGCCAUGGAGAAACCAACUCCUCUACCAGCCAGAGUCUUCUCAUCCUCAGGAUUCCAAACUCCUGUCCUCCCUCAUUGAGAUGAUCAGUUCCACACACUCUUCAGCCUGGCACUUUUCUUAUGUGCCAGCCUCUGUCACAAGAUUGAUGUGAGGUGUUUUCUCAUACUUGUGAAUCUAGGCAACUCAGAUAUCUUGUAUGAAAGGCAGUCCCAUUCUUUUCAGCUAGUUACUGU